GGCCAGUUUCCGAUUGGGAUACUCGGGGUUUUACUUCUCUUUGCGGGGAUAGAGCUUGCUAUGGCAUCGAGGGAUAUGGGGAGCAAGGAGGAGUCAUUUGUGAUGCUGGUCUGCGCGGCGGUGUCCCUUACGGGGUCGAGCGCGGCGCUGGGUUUUGGGUGCGGGGUUGUGCUUGUGAUACUGCUGAAGGUCAGAGAGUUGGACUGCUGGUGCCAUAGCUC
rnacentral:misc_RNA from 1 species